CAAUUCUACUCUUGAGAGAUAUUAAUUAGUGAAAUCAGUGAAGAAUUUUCGAUAUGUUGAGAAAACAUCAGCGGAGUGUAAUGAAGACUCGUAUUUGGCAAUUUUACAUCUCUCAAGAGUAGAAUUGCAUUGCAAGUUGCAAGAAAAAUUGCACCGUGUAACAUGGCACCGUGUAACAUGGCCCGCUUAAGGGAGUGUUCAUUAUUUAUACCCGAGGUUGGUACCGAAGAGAAACUAAUCGAAAAGAGAAAAAAACAACCACCCACCCUUUCGAUCAACCAUUUUUUUCCCUACCCAACUAUUGCAUGACUUGGAUUUUUAUUUUACCCAACCCAAUUUCAAAAUUAUACAAGUAUUUUACAUAUAUACAUAUAUAUUAUUAUACAAGCUAGGCCACUAUAGUAUAAACAGUACUGUGC